AUGGACUUGGUUGAUGAGGUUCCGUAUGUGAUAGGGGCAUCACCAGUUUAUUCAUACACACUCCAUGGAUCCUGCAACAAGACCUUUGUUGCAUCUGGUGCUUGCUACUUGUUGCUAGCAGCGCCUCCUCACAGCAGCGUCUUCGUGGUGUCGGCUGUCCAUGGAAGCACGAAGGAGGAAAAGGAGAGAGUGUCGCCCUGUAUGUUGCCGAGUAGGGAGAGAAUUGGGAAAAAGAAGAGACGAGGAAGACAUGUCGAACGAGUGGAUAAGGUCGAGCGAGAAGAUAGCGUUUCGGGAAGUUUCUUGUCUCCUCCGCGCCUUCACUUGCUCGGACCGAUCAAAACGAAUCGGACGGCCCGGCGUGUGAACGAUGCAGCAAGUGGGAUCAGCCGACUCAUUAAUUGGAUCAUUUCCCCAAUCUUUUUCCCCGUCAUUUUUAAGUUUAUGAAGUUUGUUACCGGGCUUAAAUUUUCAAGUUCAUACUAUUUCUGA
rnacentral:rRNA from 1 species